rnacentral:rRNA from 1 species
GACGGGGGAUGCAAGUGUUAUCCGGAAUCACUGGGCGUAAAGCGUCUGCAGGCGGUUUCCUAAGUCCACUGUUAAACCUUGAGGCUCAACCUCAAAUCUGCAUUGGAAACUAGGAGACUUGAGUAUAGUAGGGGUAGAGGGAAUUUCCAGUGGAGCGGUGAAAUGCGUAGAUAUUGGAAAGAACACCGAUGGCGAAGGCGCUCUACUGGGCUAUUACUGACACUCAGAGACGAAAGCUAGGGGAGCAAAUGGG